rnacentral:lncRNA from 1 species
GAGGCAGCAAGUAUCAGGUUACUCUUUAGGCAUAAAGAGAGGCAUGGUUGGAAAAAGGCUGUCCCUUGGUAGGAGAAGCCAUAUUUAACAUGGAGGCUGCUAUUCCAUGUGGCAGCCUUCCCAAGGCAUAGAGCAUUAUAUAGGUAACCUUGAUGGAUCAAGGCAUAUUAUCAUUAUUACAAGACACUGAGAGAAUAAUUUGAGCUUUUAAGUGAAAUAGCUUCAGGAGCAGACCUUCUUGCCUUCCAAGCAAAGGAGAGAAUCCUGGCCUUUCCAACGCAAAUAAAUCUUUUGCAAUUUAAAUGACAGCUUUAGGUAUAAUUCUCUUUUGAAAUACAAACACAUACCUCCAGGAGGAAAAUGUGUUCUCCUGAGACAUCAAAGGCAUCCUUUAAUUCAACUUUCAGUUCCGUUUUUCAGAAAACCCAAAUAUGCACAAACGUCAAAUGUUUUUCUUGCAAUCUCACAGUGUCCCAGUGUGGGUAUCUGUUAAUUAUCAAUGUGUGACUGCCAAGUACAAGACUACCCACCACCAACUCAAGUCAGCA